AAUAGAUACCCCGGUAGUCCUGGCCCUAAACGAUGAAUGCUUGGUGUGGCGGGUACCGAUCCCUGCCGUGCCGAAGCUAACGCAUUAAGCAUUCCGCCGUGGGGAGUACGGUCGCAAGGCUGAAACUCAAAAGGAAUUGACGGGGGGCCCGCACAAGCGGUGGAGCAUGUGGUUCAAUUCGACGCAACGCGAAGAACCUUACCCAGGCUUGAACAGCGAGUGACCAGCGAUGAAAGUCGCCUUCCGCAAGGACGCUCGUAGAGGUGCUGCAUGGCUGUCGUCAGCUCGUGUCGUGAGAUGUUGGGUUAAGUCCCGCAACGAGCGCAACCCUUGUCUGCUGUUGCCAUCAGGUUACGCUGGGCACUCUGCAGAGACUGCCGGUGAUAAACCGGGAGGAAGGUGGGGAUGACGUCAAGUCAGCAUGGCCUUUAUGUCUGGGGCUACACACGUGCUACUAAGUGGGCCGGUACAAACCGUCGCGAUCGCGCAAGGUGGAGCUAAUCGGANAACGCCGGUCUC
rnacentral:rRNA from 1 species